UGCGUAGGCGGCGCGGUAAGUCGGGUGUGAAAUCUCGGAGCUUAACUCCGAAACUGCGUUCGAUACUGCCGUGCUUGAGGACUGGAGAGGAGACUGGAAUUUACGGUGUAGCGGUGAAAUGCGUAGAUAUCGUAAGGAAGACCAGUGGCGAAGGCGGCAUCCUGGACCAAUACUGACGCUGAGGAGCGAAAGGCCAGGGGAGCAAACG
rnacentral:rRNA from 1 species